rnacentral:lncRNA from 1 species
UUCAGGAAACCAGGCUGAAGAAUGUGAAGUAUAUCGCCCAAAGUCAGACACGGAGGAACGACUGCUUCGGAGCUAGCAAGUUCCUGAGCUGCAAUUGCACCACUGACCUGUAGAAUCCAAACUGUUUUGUACCAGAACAACUCCUUCCCUGCAGGAAGCAGGGGGUGCACGGCUGAACUCUGGUCUGAGAAGGUUGAAGUCACUGACUCAGCCCCAGCAAGGAAGUUUCCCUUUGACUUCUGACCUCUGGCCCUGUUUGAAAACCAACUCAAAUCGUUUUUCUUUUUCAGAAGCUGCUUGCCUCCGCUUCACCUUCCACCAUGAUUGUAAGUUUCCUGAGGCCUCUCAGUCAUGCUUGCCGUUAAAACUGUGGAACUGCUUCACAAUGAAUGUAAAAGACAAGUGUCAGGAAAAGAUGUAAUUCUAUGGAAGAAAAAAGAUAGAAAAUAACCUUACCCAAAUGAAAACAGAUGAAGAUAAAGAUAAUUUCUUGAAAAAU